CUGCAUCCACUGAUAGAUGGGGAACAGUCUGGGGUUCUUUGGUUCUUACUAAAAUGCAAAAGUAAAGAAUCCCUGCACGUUCUGCCUGGCUUUGUGGCAGCCCAGACUGAAUUGAGGAGCACAUCU
rnacentral:snoRNA from 1 species